GGAGAGAGAGAGAGAGAGAAGGAAGAAGGAAGACGGGGAACGGAGACAGAGACACAAAGACGCAGAAGCUUGCUCGACCGAAAAGUUUGCCUAACGUGGAACAAUAAAACCGCUGUUCCCGUUUACGACGGACGAUUUUUCAACGAGUCGGAGAAACGAAGCGAGGCGAGGCGAGCCGAGACGAGCCGAGCCGAGACGAGACGAGACGAGACGAGACGAGGUAAGAGGAGGCAUAGGAGCCAAGGCGAGGCGACGCGACGCGACGCGACGCGCCGCGCCACGGCAAGACGGAGGGAAUCGUGGAGAGGAGAGUGGAAUGGUUAUUAUAUUUAUAUAUAUAUAUAUUUCUGGUCUGGCGGAGAAGGAACGGAUAAUGUACGAAUUAAAAGAGGAAGAAGUAGAGGGAAAAAUUGGACGAUCGGCGAAGAUUGAGUUUCGAAAGGAAUUUUCAUCUCGGAAAGAAUCGAGAUUUCAUUCGAUGGAGUCGAAGCGUGGAUAGAGGCGCGGCGGUAGCGGCUAUGCCCGCCAGCAGAAAGAAUUAAAAGUAAACACGCAGGCUCACGCGUUCCUCCGGGUUAGAGCAAUUACGAGCCACGCCAGCUGCCGCGGAGUUUAAAUUAUAGAAAUUACAAAACGCCCUCGCCCCUCCCUCCUCCUUCUUCUUCACCGCCGCCCCCUCUCUCGCUCUAUCCUCUUUCGAAACCUUCGUCUCCCCGUAGACCAACAUUUCCCCUUUCCUCCUCCUCUCUCUCUCUCUCCAUAAACCGGCAGUGUUUCGUUACUCGCGUAUCUUUUUCCGAGAAACCUUCCUCCUUCUUUCACAAAAAUGCGUACAAAUGUAUACAUAAAAUGUUACACUGUCGAGGCACGCAAGGAUUUUUUCACGCGACGAUACACGAUUAAUUGGACGUUCGAGACGUAUCAAGAGAUAGGAAAGAGAUCGAACGAACGUAACGCGCUCCGAGGGGUUGGAAGAAGAAGCCAGAAGGGGGAGGAUAAAAGAGGCCCGGUGGAGACAGGUGGAGGAACACGCCUCAAAGGAAUAUCCGUGGAAGAUGGGAGGCGAGUGCGGCAGGCGCAGCAGGUUAAGUCAGGUUGCAGGUAACGCAACGAAAUAACGCCGGUGGAAUUCCUCGAGGCUGCCGCGCGGCUAAUGCCAUCGGCCCUCUUUGUCUCGCAGUGCCAUCAUUUUUCUCCGGUAAUAUAUUUUAUUGCUAUCUCGGUCUCGCUCGCACCCGCGCCGCCGACGACCGCACCUCCUCCUCCUUCUCCUCCCGCUCCUCUCUCCUCCACCCCCGCUGGCAUACCACCACUACAUCUCCAACAUCGCCUCCGCGCUUUUGCGACCACCGGCUUCUUCUCCUCCUUCACCUGUCUCUCCCCCGCCCCGCGACUCGCAUCCACAAACACCUUCGCUCGAAACUCUCCACCACUACGCAACGCGAUUCCAAAUACUCCCCUCCCUUCCCCGCGGCCUUUAUUAUACCUUUCCGUCCCUUUUCUUCUCCCUCCGUGUCCGUCCAUCUAUCCGUCUCCCUCCCCCCCGUACAAUUUUCUACUCCGUCCUGCUCGUUCCGCGGCUAGCGUAUUCCCACCACCGAUGCGAUCCGUGUAUAUCCGUCUCCUUCGCCCGAGUCUUCCGUUUCUUUUACCCGCGCGCACGCAUAUAAACGUAUGUACGCGUAUAUGUAUAUGUAUGUAUGUAUGUAUGUAUAUCGAAUCUCGCCGAGUUCUCCCGUAUCUUUCCCUUUCUCUUAGGUCUUCGCUCGAUGUUUCGUGUCGUGUUCCACGGACGGUGGAACGAGGAGUGAGAUCGUCGAGGAAGAGAGCGAGAGAGGGAGAGAGGGGGGGGGAGGAGGAGGAAACGGGAGAGAAGGACGAGGAUAGCGGCCGCGCGGAGAGCGCGACGAGGAGACAGAUAUAAUUGUAUCUAAAUUAUAAUAUACAAAUAAUAACAGCCGAACCGGCAGUCCGACGCCAGGGUACAGUUGCUCGAGAAAGUUUUCUUCUUCUCUCUGCUCUGUAAACGCGGGAUAAGAUUCCUAAUCGGAAGGAAGAGGGGAGAGGGAGAAGGAUGGAGGACGGAUAUAGGCGAAUCGAUCGGGCGAGGACGAAGUGUAAACGUAACGAUACUUUUAUGCGAUUUUUUUUCGAUAUAUACGAUUCGUAUAUCGAGCGGGUAAAAAAGUAGAGUCGAAAGUUGCUCGACUACGAAGCGUUGGAAUUUAUUAACUGAUACACUGUUUAGAUUGUCGAGUUUUAUUUUAAGAAUUAAUAAUAUUUCUUUUCAAUUGGAAAGGACAUUGGAUCGUGAACUCUUCGAGUCGGUUUUCUAAUUUGAUCGACAUUAUUUUUCUCCGAUUGUUUCCCAAGUAAUUAAACCUCGCGUACAACGUACAACGCUUUUGUAACGCGAUUAUAUUCCUGCAUAACCUCACUUCCGCGUUACGCGAGGCUUACCUUGGGUGCGUACGGUAGUAACGUAGUUUCGAGAAUUGUCGACGUUACAGUCGAGAAACAAUAAAAUCCGAGUGAAAUGUGGAAAGAAGGAGGGGGGGAAAAAAGAGAGGAAGGAACGCACAGUUGCAAAGCACAGAAACGAAACACCACUCGAUGAUUCGAUUCAUUCGAAAAACUAGCGAAAAUGCGAUUGGCUGCCGAAUAGGAACGACAGGGGGCCGAGGAUUGGCUGGAAUUCGAACCGAGGUCGCGUGACGAUGCGACGCGCGCCGCACGUGCAUCUCUGUAACGUCUCUAUUUCGGCGUCUCCUUACGGUAUGGGGCAAAGAAACGACGUACGUUCGUUCGUUCGUGCGCGAUACUCGAAUUUUCGACGGAAAGGGAGCACAAAAAAGACUCGGACACGCGUUUUUCUUUGCGUUGUUAUACUCGCUGUAUCCUGCUGUUGCAGAAGUACCGUCUGUUACCUAUUUCUCUCUCUCUCUCUCUCUCUCUUUCCUUUCCCUCAUUCGUCCACUCUCGCUUCCCCUCCACCCUCCUCGUUCGUCCUUGUUCUCGUGUCUCUUCCUUGACUAGGGAUCUCCUCGGCUGCCGGCAGCGCGCGUACAAAAAGGGAACACGACGAGUUCGGGGUUAAGUUUUUCUUGUCUAAGAAGGCGAGGAGAUAAAGAGGGGGAGUGGGAGGAGGGAGGAGGGGAGAGCGGGAGAAAGGUGGAAGGAGCGGGGAGGGGGAAGGAGGCGAGGCAACCAUCUGGAAUCCAAGUCGGUGGGUAAGAAAAAUAAGCUUGGUGGGAGUAAUAAUAAAGAAAUAUGUUUCUCUUCGGUCAGAGCCCCACCGCCACGUUUCGCUUCUCUCCCUUUCUUCCCUCUACCUUCCUCUCUACCUCGCAGCCGCCUCUCUCUCUCUCGCUCUCUCGCUCUCGCUAUCCUCGCGAAACGGACGCGAAUACUUUCGUAUAUUAUACACGACACAAUGUGUUUUAACGACGAAACCUUCGCCGUGGAUAGCAAUCGCUGCCGAGCGAACCGUGCGUUGUUUCGAUCUCUUCUCUCUCGUCCAUCCGGAGGAAGGGGGGGGGGGAGAAUGGUUCGCCCGCGCGCUUCUAUUAAUCGGUGUGUAUCAUCGUUUCGCCCGCCAUGCUCGACGAAACCUUUCCCUCCCCUCCACAGGCACGAGACCCGCUAAGUUUAAAAAUUUUAAACCUCGAAAAGUUUGAAAAUAAAACGCGGGAAAAAUAAUCUAUCGGGCCGUUCUCACGCGAUCACGAUUUUUAUCGCGGCGCCAAUUCAACGUGUCGUUGCCGCCAAAUUCUUUCUUUCGUAAUAUAUAUAUAUUCGAUCGAGGAACAAUUUUUCCGAAAGAAAAGGAGAAACGAUAUAAUUCAUAAUACACGAUACGAUACGAUCAUCAUGGUAUAUUUCGAAAUCGUUAAAUAAUAACCUCGAUUUAACAACAAUUAAUUAUAAUCGUAGAAAAUUCUCCAGGAUUUGCACGUAAGAAUACGUAGAUAAAAAUGUUUGACUUUUGCGGAUAUUAACAGAUAAAAUGAUACACGCACGCACGCAAGUAUAAUAUCGAUUAAUACCAAAGGAAUAUGCAUAUAUGUAAAUUUUAUUUUAUAUAUAUAUAUAUCGUAAUUAUCCUAUUAUACGUAUUAUUACCUCGUAACGUGGGUGCGGUGGAUUUAGAAUCCGCGUAGAAUAUACGCGUAUAUCGAAUAAACAUUAUUCACGAUAUAUAUUUAUAUCUUUUUCACGGAAGAAAAAACAACCUCGCUCGAUUACUAAUCAAAAAUGAAUCUCAUCUCUCCUAUCUUUCCCUCGAAAUUCGUCCCGCUCAAUUCACGACCAAGCUAAAACUUCUCCUCCAGGAUGAAACUAGCCCCGAGGAACAGGUGUAGCCCGGGCAGAAAGAGGCGUGUGCUCGAGGGAUGGACGGAUGGAUAGCCGGGUACGGGACAGUGCGUACGGCGAUCGAGAAAGCGGAAACGGCGGUGUAUCUUAGGGGGGAACAAUGAGAGAGGAAAAGAAGGAUGAUGAAAGGAGAGUCGAGAGAGAGAGAGGUUGGCCGCGUUUUCUUGGAAGGAGGGGGCAAUCGGAAAAAACGGAAAUGGCCUGUAGUUUUCGCAUAAUCUGCGAGCCACGGCGAGGCCUAAUGUCAGUGUUCCACGAUUACCGUGGAAAUCGAGAGGCGUGCCGUAGAAAGGCAGAGAGAGAGAGAGAGAGAGAGACGGCGGCGCGGGCGGAGGCGGAGACGGGGAGGAAAAGGAAGCGAGUUAUAUUUUAUAUGACAGCGUGAUUGCAUUUCCCAGAACAAACAUCGCUCUGGCCGAGCGAGCGCGCAAGAAAACGUCGGCGUUAAUCGCGGCUCUCCGUUUCUACUCCCCUCGCCCAUCCGUCCCUUCUUUCACCCCCUUCUCCCUCCUUUUCCCUUCCGUUUUCUUCUUCUUCUUCUUGGUCGUGGUAUACCACUUCAUCGUUCUUUCCUUCUCGUAGAUUUGUAUUUGUUCAUCGUAAUUCGGUCAGAAAUUUCUUUCGACGGAGAGAAUUAAUGCUUUAAUCUUGCAAUUGAAUAAAUUUUUGGAAGGAGAGCUCUAUUAUAUUUUUAAAAAUUCCGUUUAAAUAGUUAUAAUAGAAUCUAUCCCAUCGAAAAUAGAUUCAACUCUUGUGUAUCGACUCUUUUUCUCUCUCUCUCUCUCUCUUUUUGCGAUGUUGCGUCUAGCGUGACUUAAAACGUGGAUAUUUUAUUCUGGUAUAUCCAAUAUUUCCAGUUUGUCCUGGUUUUAUUUCUUCGACGAAUCUUAUUAUGUUUAGACUGUGCGCAAGUAUGUGUGUGCGUGUGCGUGUAUACAUAUUCAGAUUGGAUAUUGCGUUUAAGACGUGACAGCAUUAUCGCUCUUUCUCUUUUUAUCGCAAUUUAUUUAUUUAUUUAAUAUUUAUAUUCAUAUUUACGAUCAACCUGCCGAUUAGCUUAAAAUGUCAUGUCGAACAACUUUCUUCUUUACGCAUAAUCGAUAUUUCGCUUAAAAAAAAAAA